GGAUAAUGAAGUAAAAAUUACAUUUAGUUUCGACCUAAAAUUAAGAUAUAUGUCUCUUAUCUA
rnacentral:tRNA from 1 species